rnacentral:rRNA from 1 species
AUUGAACGCUGGCGGCAGGCCUAACACAUGCAAGUCGAGCGGAUGAAGGGAGCUUGCUCCUGGAUUCAGCGGCGGACGGGUGAGUAAUGCCUAGGAAUCUGCCUGGUAGUGGGGGAUAACGUCCGGAAACGGGCGCUAAUACCGCAUACGUCCUGAGGGAGAAAGUGGGGGAUCUUCGGACCUCACGCUAUCAGAUGAGCCUAGGUCGGAUUAGCUAGUUGGUGGGGUAAAGGCCUACCAAGGCGACGAUCCGUAACUGGUCUGAGAGGAUGAUCAGUCACACUGGAACUGAGACACGGUCGAGACUCCUACGGGCGGCAGCAGUGGGGAGUAUUGGAGAAUGGGCGAAAGCCUGAUCCAGCCAUGCCGCGUGUGUGAAGAAGGUCUUCGGAUUGUAAAGCACUUUAAGUUGGGAAGAAGGGCAGUAAGUUAAUACCUUGCUGUCUUGACGUUACCAACAGAAUAAGCACCGGCUAACUUCGUG